rnacentral:rRNA from 1 species
CCUACGGGAGGCAGCAGUGGGGAAUAUUGCACAAUGGGGGCGACCCUGAUGCAGCAACGCCGCGUGAGUGAUGACUGCCUUCGGGUUGUAAAGCUCUGUCUUCAAGGGCGAUAAUGACGGUACCUGAGGCGUGAGCCACGGCUAACUACGUUCCAGCAGCCGCGGUAAUACGUAGGUGGCGGGCGUUGGCCGGAUUUACUGGGCGUAAAGGGAGCGUAGGCGGACUUUUAAGUGAGAUGUGAAAUACUCGGGCUCAACUUGAGUGCUGCAUUUCAAACUGGAAGUCUAGAGUGCAGGAGAGGAGAACGGAAUUCGUAGUGUAGCGGUGAAAUGCGUAGAGAUUAGGAAGAACACCAGUGGCGAAGGCGAUUCUCUGGACUGUAACUGACGCUGAGGCUCGAAAGCGUGGGGAGCAAACAGGAUUAGAUACCCCGGUAGUC